GCAAGUCGCACGGGGCGUGUUGGGUAGUAAUAUUUGACACGUUCAGUGGCGCACGGGUGAGUAACACGUGAAUCACAUGCCCUUCAGUGGGGGAUAGCCCAGGGAAACUUGGAUUAAUACCCCAUGGUCUCGCAAGAGUAAAGGCGGCCUUUAAGGCAGUCGCUGGAGGAUUGGUUCGCGCCCUAUCAGCUUGUUGGGGGGGUAACGGCCCACCAAGGCUACGACGGGUACCUGGUCUGAGAGGACGAUC
rnacentral:rRNA from 1 species